UACAUGGCUCAGUCGGUAAAACAUGAGACUCUUAAUCCCAGGGUUGUAGGUUCAAGCUCCACACUGGGCAAAG